GCCUGGCUGGCUCAGUGGGUAGAGCGUGUGACUCUUGGUCUCAGGGUUGUGGGUUCAAGCCCCACACUGGGCA